rnacentral:miRNA from 1 species
GUGUGUGUAUGUGUGUGUGUUUGUGUGUGUAUAUAUAUAUAUAUAUACAUACAUACAUACACACAUAC